UACGGGGGGGGCAAGCGUUGUUCGGAAUUACUGGGCGUAAAGGGCUCGUAGGCGGCCAACUAAGUCGGACGUGAAAUCCCUCAGCUUAACCGGGGAACUGCGUCUGAUACUGGAUGGCUUGAGUUCGGGAGAGGGAUGCGGAAUUCCAGGUGUAGCGGUGAAAUGCGUAGAUAUCUGGAGGAACACCGGUGGCGAAGGCGGCAUCCUGGACCGAUACUGACGCUGAGGAGCGAAAGCCAGGGGAGCAAACGGG
rnacentral:rRNA from 1 species